rnacentral:rRNA from 1 species
GAAGAAUAUAUUUAUUGAUUGUGAAAUUGAAUGUGAUGUUUAAUAAAAAUAAUUUUAGAAGGAAUUAUCUGAGUAUUAAUGUUAGAAUGGAUUUGAUUAUGAUAAUGAAUUAGUACCGUAAGGGAGUAUUGAAAUAGGAUAGUAAUUUUAUGAAAAGUAGAUUGUUUGUUGUACCUUGUGUAUCAGGGUUUAUUAAAUUUGGAAUAGGAGCGUAUUGUUUCCCGAAUUGAGAGGAGUUAAUUUAUUACGUUUAUUAAUGUUGAAUAAUUAUUGGAAAUAAUAAAUUGGGAAUGAUAUGUUAUCGACUCUUAAGAUAUCUGGUUUUUCAAGAAGUAAAUUUAAUUUAGUUUAUUUUUGUAAAGGUUUUAUUAGAGAAAUGUUUAUAAGGGUAAAAUAAUAGUUUGGGGGAUAAGCUCUAGAUUGUUAACUAUAAUUUUUAUUAAUUUAAGUAAAUUGUAGGCUUUAAAUUAGCUAUCAGUAGUAAGGUUGUUAUAAAUUAUUUUUUUCUUAAAUGAUUUUAUAAAAAGUUUAGUUGGUUUAUUGAAAUAGAAUAUAUAAUUAUUAGAGUGUUUGUAAUAAUGAUAAAAUUAGUAUAUAUAUAUAUUGUGAUAAUAAAAGUGAUUAUAAUUUAUGUUAAGGAACUCGGCAAAUUUUAUUACCCGCCUGUUUAACAAAAACAUGUCUUUUUGUGUUGAAUUUAAAGUCGGACCUGCCCACUGAAAUAUUGAAGGGCCGCGGUAUUUUGACCGUGCAAAGGUAGCAUAAUCAUUAGUCUUUUAAUUGAAGGCUGGUAUGAAGGGUUUGACGAGGUAUAGGCUGUCUCUAUAUAAUAAGUUGAAUUUAUUUUUUAAGUUAAAAAAUUUAAAUGUAAAUAGAGGACGAGAAGACCCUAUAGAGCUUUAUAUAAUUGUGGUAAGUAUUCAUUUAGGUUAAUUGGUAUUUGUAUUAUAAUUGUAUUAUGUUGGGGUGACAUGAAGAUAUAAUAAACUCUUUAUAAUGUUUACAUUGCUUUAUGGGUGGUUGAUCCAAUAUUAAUGAUUGUAAGAUAAAGUUACCUUAGGGAUAACAGCGUAAUCCUACUUGAGAGUUCUUAUCGAAAGAGGGGGUUGCGACCUCGAUGUUGGACUAAGAAAAUGAUUAAAUGCAGUAGUUUAGUAAAUAGGUCUGUUCGACCUUUAAAAUCUUACAUGAUCUGAGUUCAGACCGGCGUGAGCCAGGUCGGUUUCUAUCCUUAUUUGAAUAGAAUGCUUUAGUACGAAAGGACCAAGUAUGAAAAAUAGUUUUUAUUAUUACUGGAAGAAUAAUAAUUUG